CAGCAUGUACUCGCGGCUCGCCAGGAUGCAAAGAUGGUCCUUGUGGACACAUGCACAAUAUGCUUUCCUUGCCCUUUUUUUCCUCUGGUAUCCCAUUUAUGGAGACACCAGAGACAAGUUAAAAGCAAACACAGCGCAAGCAUGUUAUUACAUUGCUUGCACCGCGCAGAACAAAUACAGGGCCUUUUACUCACGAUAGAACUCUUCAGCA